rnacentral:rRNA from 1 species
GAGUUUGAUCCUGGCUCAGAACGAACGCUGGCGGCGUGCCUUAUGCAUGCAAGUCGAACGGGAAACAGACCUUCGGGUUUGUGGAGAGUGGCGAACGGGUGAGUAACGCGUGAGUAACCUGCCUUCAAGUGGGGAAUAACAUCUCUAACGAGAUGCUAAUACCGCAUAACAGAUAUUCCGUAUGGAAUAUCUUGAAAGAUGACCUCUGAUACAAGUUGUCGCUUUGAAGAUGGGCUCGCGUUCCAUUAGCUUGUUGGUAGGGUAAUGGCCUACCAAGGCUACGAUGGAUAGCCGGCUUGAGAGGGUGUCCGGCCACACUGGGACUGAGAUACGGCCCAGACUCCUGCGGGAGGCAGCAGCAGGGAAUAUUGCGCAAUGGCCUAACGGCUGACGCAGCAACGCCGCGUGGGUGAUGAAGCUUCUUGGAGUGUAAAGCCCUUUUAAUGGAGACGAACCGCAGGGAUGUUAAUACCAUCUUUGUCUGACGGUAUCCAUAGAAAAAGCUCCGGCUAACUUCGUGCCAGCAGCCGCGGUAAUACGAGGGGAGCAAGCGUUGUUCGGAUUUACUGGGCGUAAAGGGUGUCUAGGCGGGCUUUCAAGUCAGGUGUGAAAUCCCUCGGCUUAACUGAGGAAUUGCAUUUGAAACUGUUGGCCUUGAGUACAGCAGAGGAAAGCGGAAUUCCUGGUGUAGCGGUGAAAUGCGUAGAUAUCAGGAAGAACACCGGUGGCGAAGGCAGCUUUCUGGGCUAGUACUGACGCUGAAGCACGAAAGCGUGGGGAGCAAACAGGAUUAGAUACCCUGGUAGUCCACGCUGUAAACGUGGCACUAGGUGUUGGGAGUAUCGACCCUCUCAGUGCCGAAGCUAACGCAUUAAGUGCCCCGCCUGGGAGUACAUGCGUC